rnacentral:tRNA from 1 species
GCCUGGGUGGCUCAGUCAGUUGAGCGUCCGACUUCAGCUCAAGUCAUGAUCUCACAGUUCGUGGGUUCGAGCCCCAUAUCAGGCU